AUAUCUUUCUCAUCCUUUUGGCUAAGAUAAGGUGUAGUAUACUAAUAUUUGUUCUUUUCGGUUUAAUAUCUGAUAUGUGGACCAUAUUCUCACUCUGAUAUUAAAUUUAUUUUUUUAUGGGUAUCAAAU
rfam:Zea mays cultivar B73 chromosome 3, whole genome shotgun sequence.